CCCUUAGAUGUCCUGGGCUGCACGCGCGCUACAUUGACACGUUCAACGAGUUUUGCCUGCUCCGAUGGGACUGGGUAAUCUUAUGAAAGCGUGUCGUGAUGGGGAUAGAUUAUUGCAAUUAUUAAUCUUCAACGAGGAAUUCCUAGUAAGUACAAGUCAUCAGCUUGUGCUGAUUACGUCCCUGCCCUUUGUACACACCGCCCGUCGCUCCUACCGAUUGGGUGAUCCGGUGAAUAACUCGGACUGCAGCUAUUCGGGAGACCGUUAGCUUGUGGAAAGUUUAGUAAAUCUUAUCACUUAGAGGAAGGAGAAGUCGUAACA
rnacentral:rRNA from 1 species